GAUGAACGCUGGCGGCGUGCCUAAUACAUGCAAGUCGAGCGAACGGACGAGAAGCUUGCUUCUCUGAUGUUAGCGGCGGACGGGUGAGUAACACGUGGAUAACCUACCUAUAAGACUGGGAUAACUUCGGGAAACCGGAGCUAAUACCGGAUAAUAUUUUGAACCGCAUGGUUCAAAAGUGAAAGACGGUCUUGCUGUCACUUAUAGAUGGAUCCGCGCUGCAUUAGCUAGUUGGUAAGGUAACGGCUUACCAAGGCAACGAUGCAUAGCCGACCUGAGAGGGUGAUCGGCCACACUGGAACUGAGACACGGUCCAGACUCCUACGGGAGGCAGCAGUAGGGAAUCUUCCGCAAUGGGCGAAAGCCUGACGGAGCAACGCCGCGUGGGUGAUGAAGGUCUUCGGAUCGUAAAACUCUGUUAUUAGGGAAGAACAUAUGUGUAAGUAACUGUGCACAUCUUGACGGUACCUAAUCAGAAAGCCACGGCUAACUACAUGCCAGCAGCCGCGGUAAUACGUAGGUGGCAAGCGUUAUCCGGAAUUAUUGGGCGUAAAGCGCGCGUAGGCGGUUUUUUAAGUCUGAUGUGAAAGCCCACGGCUCAACCGUGGAGGGUCAUUGGAAACUGGAAAACUUGAGUGCAGAAGAGGAAAGUGGAAUUCCAUGUGUAGCGGUGAAAUGCGCAGAGAUAUGGAGGAACACCAGUGGCGAAGGCGACUUUCUGGUCUGUAACUGACGCUGAUGUGCGAAAGCGUGGGGAUCAAACAGGAUUAGAUACCCUGGUAGUCCACGCCGUAAACGAUGAGUGCUAAGUGUUAGGGGGGUUCCGCCCCUUAGUGCUGCAGCUAACGCAUUAAGCACUCCGCCUGGGGAGUACGACCGCAAGGUUGAAACUCAAAGGAAUUGACGGGGACCCGCACAAGCGGUGGAGCAUGUGGUUUAAUUCGAAGCAACGCGAAGAACCUUACCAAAUCUUGACAUCCUUUGACAACUCUAGAGAUUGAGCUUUCCUCUUCGGGGGACAAAGUGACAGGUGGUGCAUGGUUGUCGUCAGCUCGUGUCGUGAGAUGUUGGGUUAAGUCCCGCAACGAGCGCAACCCUUAAGCUUAGUUGCCAUCAUUAAGUUGGGCACUCUAAGUUGACUGCCGGUGACAAACCGGAGGAAGGUGGGGAUGACGUCAAAUCAUCAUGCCCCUUAUGAUUUGGGCUACACACGUGCUACAAUGGACAAUACAAAGGGCAGCGAAACCGCGAGGUCAAGCAAAUCCCAUAAAGUUGUUCUCAGUUCGGAUUGUAGUCUGCAACUCGACUACAUGAAGCUGGAAUCGCUAGUAAUCGUAGAUCAGCAUGCUACGGUGAAUACGUUCCCGGGUCU
rnacentral:rRNA from 1 species